rnacentral:rRNA from 1 species
UGGCGGCAUGCCUUACACAUGCAAGUCGAACGGCAGCGACGGGAGCAAUCCUGGUGGCGAGUGGCGAACGGGUGAGUAAUAUAUCGGAACGUCGCCAGUCGUGGGGGAUAACGUAGACGAAAGUUACGCUAAUACCGCAUACGAUCUACGGAUGAAAGCGGGGGACUCGCAAGAGCCUCGCGCGAUUGGAGCGGCCGAUAUCAGAUUAGGUAGUUGGUGGGGUAAAGGCUCACCAAGCCAACGAUCUGUAGCUGGUCUGAGAGGACGACCAGCCACACUGGAACUGAGACACGGUCCAGACUCCUACGGGAGGCAGCAGUGGGGAAUUUUGGACAAUGGACGCAAGUCUGAUCCAGCCAUUCCGCGUGCAGGAUGAAGGCCCUCGGGUUGUAAACUGCUUUUGUACGGAACGAAAAGGUUUCUAUUAAUACUAGGAGCUCAUGACGGUACCGUAAGAAUAAGCACCGGCUAACUACGUG